rnacentral:rRNA from 1 species
GCCUACGGGGCGCAGCAGUAGGGAAUUUUCGUCAAUGGGCGCAAGCCUGAACGAGCAAUGCCGCGUGAACGAGGAAGGUCUUCGGAUCGUAAAGUUCUGUUGAAGGGGAAAAAGAGCGGAGAGAGGAAAUGGUCUCCGAUUGAUAUUACCCUUCGAGGAAGUCACGGCUAACUACGUGCCAGCAGCCGCGGUAAUACGUAGGUGGCGAGCGUUAUCCGGAAUGAUUGGGCGUAAAGGGUGCGUAGGCGGCCUGCUAAGUCUGAUGUGAAAGCCUUCGGCUCAACCGGAGAAUUGCAUCAGAAACU